GGUUGUGUAGUGUAGUGGUUAUCACUCUGGAUUUUGACUUGUUCAAGUCACAUUCCUUCCAGUAACCCCGGUUCGAACCCGGGCACGACCU
rfam:Podospora anserina genomic DNA, chromosome 6.